rnacentral:misc_RNA from 1 species
GAUGAAGAACGUAGCGAAAUGCGUUAAGUAAUGUGAAUUGCAGAAUUCAGUGAAUCAUCGAAUCUUUGAACGCACCUUGCACCCUUUGGCAUUCCGAAGGGUAUGCUCGUUUGAGUGUCAUUGUACUCUCACACUCUCCGAUCCUAUGGAUUCGGGGAGCGGUGGACUUGGGUGUUGCUGCCUUUCCUUGUGGCUCACCUCAAAUGUGUCAGUGCACCUCUUGGUUGGACAUAGUACGGCGUGAUAAGUGUCUUCGCCGGCACCUCGCAAGAGGGUGGCCGAUCGGGAGCUCUGUGCUUUCAAACCGUCUUCGGACAAUUUCUGACAACUUGACCUCAAAUCGAGUAGGACUACCCGCUGAACUUAAGCAUAUCAAUAAGCGGAGGA